CAAGGACAACCGGACAUUUGAGGUCAGUACAACAAGGGCAACCGAGUGUUUGAGGUCAGUACAAGGACAUCAGGGUGUUUGAGGUCAGUACAAGAAGGACAUCAGGGUGUUUGAGGUCAGUACAACAAGGAUAUGAGGGUGUUUGAGGUCAGUACAACAAGGAUAUGAGGGUGUUUGAGGUCAGUACAAGGACAUGAGGGUGUUUGAGGUCAGUGCAACAAGGAUAUGAGGGUGUUUGAGGUCAGUACAACAAGGAUAUGAGGGUGUUUGAGGUCAGUACAACAAGGAUAUGAGGGUGUUUGAGGUCAGUGCAACAAGGACAUAAGGGUGUUUGAGGUCAGUGCAACAAGGAUAUGAGGGUGUUUGAGGUCAGUACAACAAGGAUAUGAGGGUGUUUGAGGUCAGUACAACAAGGAUAUGAGGGUGUUUGAGGUCAGUGCAACAAGGACAUAAGGGUGUUUGAGGUCAGUACAACAAGGAUAUGAGGGUGUUUGAGGUCAGUAACAAGGACAUAAGGGUGUUUGAGGUCAGUACAACAAGGAUAUGAGGGUGUUUGAGGUCAGUGCAACAAGGAUAUGAGGGUGUUUGAGGUCAGUACAAGAAGGACAUAAGGGUGUCUGAGGUCAGUGCAACAAGGACAACUGGGCAUCUCAGGUCAGUACAGCAAUAACAACAUGAUGUAAUGGCUGUAUUGUUGCAGAGUGGAGUGGGUUCUAAGAUCACCAUGGCAACAAGAUACAGUGGCUGCAUUGUUGCAGGGGUCAGUUGGGUCCAAGAUAACCAUGGCAGCAUGGUGUAUUGGCUGUAUUG